rnacentral:rRNA from 1 species
UACGGGGGGGGCAAGCGUUGUCCGGAAUUACUGGGCGUAAAGGGCCAGUAGGCGGCCAACUAAGUCCGACGUGAAAUCCCAAGGCUUAACCUUGGAACUGCGUCGGAUACUGGAUGGCUUGAAUUCGGGAGAGGGAUGCAGAAUUCCAGGUGUAGCGGUGAAAUGCGUAGAUAUCGUUUGGAACGCCAAUGGUGAAAACAGGUAGCUGGGAGUGUGCCGACGCUGAGACACGAAAGUCAGGGGAGCGAACGGG